GGGGAUGCAGCUCAGUGGUACAGUGCUUACCUAGAAUGCAGGAGGCACUGGGUUCAAUCCCCAACACUGCUU
rnacentral:tRNA from 1 species